AUUAUAGCAUGUAUAAGAUAUAUGUAUAGUAUAUUAUAGCCAUAUAAUAUAUGUAAUACAUAUAUAUUAAUUACUAUUAUAUAUACACAUAUGUAUAUAUAUAAUUAAGCCUUCUAGUUGGGGAGAGGGUCAAUGAGAAUGAGGUGUGAAAAUAUCAUAAUAAUACCCAUGAUUUUGUAUACUAAUUUUAAAAACUGAUUAAAACUUCCUCCUGUUAUUUUCUUAGUCUUUUGGGGUAGACUAAUCAGAAUAUAUGAAACUGGAAGAUUUGUUCACAUUAUUCUUUAGUGUAAGUGUGUGUGUGUGUGUGUGUGUGUGUGUGUGUGUGUGUGUGUGUGUUUAGAGGGUGGGGCCUAGAGGGCAACCUUGGGAGUCAUUCCUCAGGCAUCAAUAUUCCUUGUGUGUGGUUUUUGAGAUCUCAUUGGCUUGGCCUCAGUGAUUAGGCUAGGUUUGUCUGUGAUUCCUUAGCAUAGGGAUUCUAAAUGUGGGUUCUGGGGUUGAACUUGGAUCCUCAUGUGUUCCCGGGAAGCACUGUACUGACUAAGCCAUUUCCCUAGCACAAAAAGGCGUGAUAUAUUUUUCUCACUGCUCUGGGGGCUGGGAAGUGGGACCUUUGCUGAUCUGGUCUCUGGCAAUGGUGCCUGGUUGCUACCCAGAGCUGUCCCCCAACAAGGCAGAAGGACAAAGGGCAGAAGGAGCCUGGGAAAAGGAUCCUCCUUGGCUCACAGGACCUCAUGACUUCUUAAAGUGCCUCGUGGAUGAAGAAGUUCCAACAAGAACGCUGACGUCCAGACCGUAACGACUACUAGGAAACAUGAUGCAAACUUUUGAUGCCAUCCUGGGGCCUUGAGGAGCAAGCUCACUGGAAGAGACGAAAAUGGUUUCUGGCAUGUGGGAAAGAGAACGGCGAGUGCACCUUUCCUACUGUUGGCUCAUCCACUGCCCAGUGCGAUUUCUACCACAGGAGACUUCACACCUGCUUCGAGUGACCCUGCACUUUGGGACUUCGGAUUCUCCUCUGAAACAGCUCUACCAGUGUUCCUGCUUCCUUUUGGGUGACCACCAUGCAUUCAUUUAUCCAUUUAGAGUCAAGGCUUUACUGUGUAGCCCCAGCUGGCCUCAAAGGGGAGCCUCCCUGGACCCAUGGUACCAUCAUAGGCGUGUAUUAGUGUGUUAGCAUGCCUGGUCCCAUUAACUUUAAUACACGGUUUGCCCUGUCCAAUGUUAGCUUAUAAAACGUUUCGAAACUGUA